AAUUAAAUGACGACAGAUCGAGGCGCGCGAGUGUGAAAAGUGUUCCGUGGUGCGUGAGUUUGUUUUUCUGCCGGGAUUACCUGAGCUAAUACCAGGUGUUAGCUAGUCAUCCUCCUGCUCGCUCACUCUCUCUAGCAAAAACACUGCACGCCGCGGCUAAGGCUAACUCUCCGCCCCCGCCGGAUCAUGUGACCUCAGGCCAACAGACUAAUGAGGAGCCCCUCCGCCCGAGCACUACU